rnacentral:rRNA from 1 species
GGGCCCGCACAAGCGGUGGAGCAUGUGGUUUAAUUCGAUGAUACGCGAGGAACCUUACCAGGGCUUAAAUGGGAAAUGACAGGGGCAGAGACGCCCCCUUCUUCGGACAUCUUUCAAGGUGCUGCAUGGUUGUCGUCAGCUCGUGCCGUGAGGUGUCAGGUUAAGUCCUAUAACGAGCGCAACCCCUACCGUUAGUUGCCAGCGAUUCAAGUCGGGGACUCUAACGGGACUGCCGGUGCAAACCGUGAGGAAGGUGGGGACGACGUCAAAUCAUCACGGCCCUUACGUCCUGGGCUACACACGUGUUACAAUGGACAGUACAGAAAGUUGCAAUUCCGCGAGGAGGAGCCAAUCUUUAAAACUGUCCCCAGUUCAGAUUGAAGUCUGAAAUUCGACUUCAUG